GGUACAUCUUGCGAUCCGGAGGCAAUGCUGGAGCGGGCAGUUGUCUGCAGGGAGGCCCUGGCUCACUCUGGGCCAAAUAACAGGACUGAUUGCAGCCAGGGAUGAAACUUCCUGUUUCUCCCAACCAGAAACAGACAGAGGAGCUGCUUUAGGAUGAAAGAUGAGGCUUGCUUUUUCUUUCUCCUAGAAGUCAGCAUUUUACAUGAUUCUGGGAGGGAAGAAAGGAGACAGGAACCAAGGAGCCUGAGUGGGGAUGUGCCUACCGCUGGGCAGCGAGUAUCCUGUAAGGAAGGCUUUUCAGAGGGAGUGUUGGAAGGAGCCCUAAGGGAAUCUUCCUCACCCAGGAAGUCUUCCUCACUGGGUGAGCCCCAACCUGCUGGACCUGAACAGAAUUCGCCCAACAGGGGAUCCUGAUUGACUGAGGUCUGCUAAUUCCAAUUCAUCUAUGCCAAAUGCUCCCAGAAUGUCUUCAUCAUCACUGAAUCCCUUUCCACUGACACAAUGCCUGGAAGAACAUAAACACUGGGAGGAUAAAUAUCAAUGAAAUACUAAUAAAAUAAACUUUCUUUGGUCUCCAGAGGGAAA